rnacentral:SRP_RNA from 1 species
GCCGGGCGCGUGGUGCAUGCCUGUAGUCCCAGCUACUCGGGAGGCGAGGCUGGAAGAUCGCUUGAGUCCAGGAGUUCUGGGCUGUAGCGCCCUAUGCCGAUCAGGUGUCCGCACUAAGAUUGGCAUCAUUAUGGUGACCUCCCGGGAGCUGGGGACCAUCAGGUUGCCUAAGGAGGGGUGGGAACCUUCCGGCCCAGGUCAGAAACAGAGCGGGUCAGAACUCCGGUGCUGAUGAGUAGUGGGAUUGGGCCUGUGAACAGCCACUGCACUCCAGCCUGGGCAACAUAGCGAGGCCCCAUCUCU